ACGAACGCUGGCGGCGUGCCUAACACAUGCAAGUCGAACGGUUUCAGGAGGUCAGCUUGCUGAUUUCCUGAGAUAGUGGCGGACGGGUGAGUAACGCGUGAGUAACCUGGCUCAGAGUGGGGAAUAACGUAGGGAAACCUGCACUAAUACCGCAUAAUGUACAGGGUUCGCAUGGACCUUGUACCAAAGGAGUAAUUCGCUUUGAGAUGGACUCGCGUCCGAUUAGAUAGUUGGCGGGGUAACGGCCCACCAAGUCAACGAUCGGUAGCCGGACUGAGAGGUUGAUCGGCCACAUUGGGACUGAGAUACGGCCCAGACUCCUACGGGAGGCAGCAGUGGGGGAUAUUAGACAAUGGGGGAAACCCUGAUCUAGCAACGCCGCGUGAAGGAUGAAGGUCUUCGGAUUGUAAACUUCUUUGACGAGGGAAGAUAAUGACGGUACCUCGAGAACAAGCCACGGCUAACUACGUGCCAGCAGCCGCGGUAAUACGUAGGUGGCGAGCGUUGUCCGGAUUUACUGGGUGUAAAGGGCGUGUAGGCGGGACUGCAGGUCAGAUGUGAAAUACGGAGGCUUAACCUCCGAGCUGCAUUUGAAACUGCAAUUCUUGAGUGAUGGAGAGGUAAGCGGAAUUCCCAGUGUAGCGGUAAAAUGCGUAGAUAUUGGGAGGAACACCAGUGGCGAAGGCGGCUUACUGGACAUUAACUGACGCUGAGGCGCGAAAGUGUGGGGAGCAAACAGGAUUAGAUACCCUGGUAGUCCACACUGUAAACGAUGGAUACUAGGUGUGGGGGGACUGACCCCUUCCGUGCCGGAGUUAACACAAUAAGUAUCCCACCUGGGGAGUACGGUCGCAAGAUUAAAACUCAAAGGAAUUGACGGGGACCCGCACAAGCAGUGGAGUAUGUGGUUUAAUUCGACGAUACGCGAAAAACCUUACCAAGGCUUGACAUCCUACUAACGAAGUAGAGAUACAUCAGGUGCCCCUCGGGGAAAGUAGAGACAGGUGGUGCAUGGUUGUCGUCAGCUCGUGUCGUGAGAUGUUGGGUUAAGUCCCGCAACGAGCGCAACCCUUACGGUUAGUUGCUACGCAAGAGCACUCUAGCCGGACUGCCGUUGACAAAACGGAGGAAGGUGGGGACGACGUCAAAUCAUCAUGCCCUUUAUGUCUUGGGCUACACACGUACUACAAUGGCGAUCAACAAAGGGCAGCGAAACCGCGAGGUGGAGCAAAUCCCCAAAAGUCGCCCCAGUUCAGAUUGCAGGCUGCAACCCGCCUGCAUGAAGCCGGAAUUGCUAGUAAUCGUAGAUCAGCAUGCUACGGUGAAUACGUUCCCGGGUCUUGUACACACCGCCCGUCAAACCAUGAAAGUCGGAAACACCCGAAGUCUGUAGUCUAACCGCAAGGAGGACGCAGCCGAAGGUGGGUUCGGUGAUUGGGGUU
rnacentral:rRNA from 1 species